GUUUGAUCCUGGCUCAGGACGAACGCUGGCGGCGUGCUUAACACAUGCAAGUCGAACGAGAAGAGAUGAGAAGCUUGCUUCUUAUUGAUUCGAGUGGCAAACGGGUGAGUAACGCGUAAGCAACCUGCCCUCUAGAUGGGGACAACAGCUGGAAACGGCUGCUAAUACCGAAUACGUUUUUUCUGUCGCAUGGCAGAGAGAAGAAAGGGAGGCUCUUCGGAGCUUUCGCUGGAGGAGGGGCUUGCGUCUGAUUAGCUAGUUGGAGGGGUAACGGCCCACCAAGGCGACGAUCAGUAGCCGGUCUGAGAGGAUGAACGGCCACAUUGGGACUGAGACACGGCCCAGACUCCUACGGGAGGCAGCAGUGGGGAAUCUUCCGCAAUGGACGAAAGUCUGACGGAGCAACGCCGCGUGAACGAUGACGGCCUUCGGGUUGUAAAGUUCUGUUAUACGGGACGAAUGGUACGACGGUCAAUACCCGUCGUAAGUGACGGUACCGUAAGAGAAAGCCACGGCUAACUACGUGCCAGCAGCCGCGGUAAUACGUAGGUGGCAAGCGUUGUCCGGAAUUAUUGGGCGUAAAGGGCGCGCAGGCGGCGUCGUAAGUCGGUCUUAAAAGUGCGGGGCUUAACCCUGUGAGGGGACCGAAACUGCGAUGCUAGAGUAUCGGAGAGGAAAGCGGAAUUCCUAGUGUAGCGGUGAAAUGCGUAGAUAUUAGGAGGAACACCAGUGGCGAAAGCGGCUUUCUGGACGACAACUGACGCUGAGGCGCGAAAGCCAGGGGAGCAAACGGGAUUAGAUACCCCGGUAGUCCUGGCCGUCAACGAUGGAUACUAGGUGUAGGAGGUAUCGACCCCUUCUGUGCCGGAGUUAACGCAAUAAGUAUCCCGCCUGGGGAGUACGGCCG
rnacentral:rRNA from 1 species